rnacentral:rRNA from 1 species
AGUGAACGCUGGCGGUAGGCCUAACACAUGCAAGUCGAACGGCAGCACAGGAGAGCUUGCUCUCUGGGUGGCGAGUGGCGGACGGGUGAGGAAUACAUCGGAAUCUACUCUGUCGUGGGGGAUAACGUAGGGAAACUUACGCUAAUACCGCAUACGACCUACGGGUGAAAGCAGGGGAUCUUCGGACCUUGCGCGAUUGAAUGAGCCGAUGUCGGAUUAGCUAGUUGGCGGGGUAAAGGCCCACCAAGGCGACGAUCCGUAGCUGGUCUGAGGGGAUGAUCAGCCACACUGGAACUGAGACACGGUCCAGACUCCUACGGGAGGCAGCAGUGGGGAAUAUUGGACAAUGGGCGCAAGCCUGAUCCAGCCAUACCGCGUGGGUGAAGAAGGCCUUCGGGUUGUAAAGCCCUUUUGUUGGGAAAGAAGUCCAGCUGGCUAAUACCCGGUUGGGAUGACGGUACCCAAAGAAUAAGCACCGGCUAACUUCGUGCCAGCAGCCGCAGUAA